AAUGCUUCUUUUCUUAAGGACAAGCUGUGAUGGGGAGGGAAAUAAUAGUACCGAAGUUCCUGAUGUCACACUGCCGAGAAAAGCUUCUAGUGAGAAAACAGCGGCCCGUACCGCAAACCGACACAGGUAGUCGAGGAGAGAAUCCUAAGGUGAGCGAGAGAACUCUCGUUAAGGAACUCGGCAAAAUGACCCCGUAACUUCGGGAGAAGGGGUGCUGAUCAUACGAUCAGCCGCAGUGAAUAGGCCCAAGCGACUGUUUAUCAAAAACA
rnacentral:rRNA from 1 species